ensembl:lncRNA
GCCUAUGUUGUCCUGAUUGAAAGGAACGGCACAUCUAGGUUAAAGGGCAUUAAGGACUCCCCAGCUCUUGCCACGUGAUGGCUAAAGCGUGGAGUAGAUGACUGCUAAGUGCUUAGGAGGGAGUUUAUUAAACUUUUGAAUAACACUACAUGUACAUGUACAGGAGCUAGAAUAGCUGGGCUGUCUACUGGGAAAGCAGCACUAAUACCUGUCAGGCAGGAACCCCUGAAGUGGACAACACAAGAAGAUCCUUUUAUGAAGGCACUGAUUUUCAAGUGUUCCAGUCUCCUGGAGGCAUGUUGUCAUUUCUGAAGCAUUCACAACAUGCAAUGGCAAGAAAGAGAGCCUUUGUUUGCUCUAUUUAAGGAGGAAAAUUGAGAUGCAGCUGGGAGAAGCAGGAAGCAUCCAGUCAGCAAGAUAGCAAGGAGAAUUUAUAUUACAUGGCAGCCUGUGGAUGUGUUUGGUUUAGGACAGACACAGUGCUGCCUAAGCAAGGCAGGAUGUAAAUGAUUUUUAAAAAAACAAGUGUUAACCUGUGUUUUGACUUGAGGUGGUGCCCUGUGAACCUGGGUAUUCAGUAAACGCUCUGAAUGAAUGGGGGCUCUAGUCCAGAGCUUGUUACAGAGCAAGCCCUCAAUACAGUUCUUUGACGGUCUUGCUCGCUAUUUUGUAGCAUUCCCAACUUGGCAUACAAGGAGGAUAAUAAAGUACAUGUGCUGU